rnacentral:lncRNA from 1 species
CCCGUUUACACGACUGAAAUGUUCGCGGUUCUGAGAGCGCCCAUUCCUUCUUGGUUAGAUCCUGGUCCUCCGAAACGAAAUUUCACCCAACACCCCCCCCCCCCCCCAAAAAAAAAGAAGAGAAGAGACGGAAUCGACGGUUGUCAUGAAGUUAAAGAGAAGCUUUAGCGCUCCAGUUGUUGCAUUUUUUCAUUUUCCUCGAUGUCACGUGUUUUUAAAGCUUCUCACUAAUUGUUACCGACUUUGAGAACUGAUUAAAUAAUGAAACUUGGUAUCGGAAAUGCAUCUUUCAAUGAGGCAGGUCUUUUGUUUCACUUCGGUGGUUCACAUCCUUCCCGAUGAUAAAUCAUGAGCCUAAUCACGAUCUUUGAAACUUGAUCGAAGAGUUUCGAGGCUGCUCAUAAAAUACGUUCCGCUUAAGGGGGGAGUCGCGAAGAGAGAAGCUUACAUCGCUUUUCUGUGACGUAACACUGAUAGCGUCCGUCAUGAACCCAUUUUUCCCCCUGAAAUUCAGUAUGUUCCCCAUAGACACCCCGCGUUGUUGUGCGUUGCCGCGCCAAGGAAAAAUAACGUAUGAAUCCGUGCCAAGAAAAAAUAACUUACAGAGUAAACAAUGGCAAUGGAGCUCCCACGAUACCUUUCGCAUUUUUUUACAUUGGCAUAUUUAUUUGCCUAUUUGCUGCUCAUUCUUGCAAACUUGAAUUGCAUCGACGGGGUCAGCGAUGACGUGCCCAAAUGCCCAAAGAAUAUGAGCGAUAUUUUGAAAGCAGAAAAAGUAGUGCCUGAUGUCAUUGAUAACGUGCCAAAACACCAUAUUGACAUUGAGUAUAAUCAACACUGUUUCAUAAAUUUCGGAAAUAUGUUGAAGCCCGAGGAGGUUUAUUGGCGCACUUUUGCCAUUGAUUGGUUUUGCUAUCGAGAGCAGUAUUUCACAUUCAUGUUAGUUGGGCCGGAUGAGCCAUCGCGGGAUGCACCUACGGACCGGGAGUUUCUACACUGGUUGAUCGUGAAUAUUCCCAUCGAUGCUGUUAUUUGCGGCGAUGAAAGAGUGGAAUAUAUUCCACCGACUCCAAAAAAGACACUGGUGAGUGAAAUAAAAAAUAUAUUGUGAAAUUUGUGCUACUUUUUCAUGAGUAUUGUGAUGCCUGGGGCAAAAAGGCCUAAAACCCCACCGGUGGCUGUGGGCAGGUGGGUUUCCGCGCGCAUUUUCGGGCCGAUGGACUUUUGUCUCGGAGUGUGAGAGAGGCUGGAAAUGUGCGCGGAGGACCAUUUGUUUAGAGUUGCUAGUCGUGUUGAUGGUUUGAUCUGCGCCUCGGAGCCGAAAUUGGGCAAUUUGUUUGGGAAAACUACGCGAGAAGCGGGUCGGAUGUUGGGCGUGGACCCGAGGCUAUAAAAGUUGGGACGGGCGGAAAAGCGAGGUCUUUGGUACCAACAACGUUUGAUCUGUGAAGUUGAGUGUAUGAAGUGCGAAUAAAAGUGUAGAUUGAAAGUUUUGAGUUCUCUGUUGAGCGUUGAGCCUGAGUUGAAACCCUGAGUUCUCUCCCUUAGUUCUCCAUUUGAGCUGCGCCCCCCCCCCCUUCAGCGUCAGAACAGCGGACCCAUUACAGUAUAAGAUUUGUAGACUCACUGAUUAGCUCAGGUGAAAUUAUUUCUCAAGAAAAUUGUGCUAUUUCUGUAAUUACGUCUAUGAAAAUUGAGGAAAAAAGAAAGAAAAAACGAGACGCUAAAAGGAACAAAUACAA